rnacentral:ncRNA from 1 species
ACCUACAAAGUUUCCCUUGGGAUAGAUGGUUCUCAGCAAUGGGCACUUUUACCCAGCAAAGUGAAUGAUUAGAGGUGUUGGGCACAAAACAAUUGCAGCCUGUUCUCAAACUUUCAAUGUGCAAGGGGACUGGCUUACUAGCUUGAAGCUUUGCUGUUGAUUGUGAGUGCUCUGAGCACCACUUCUGGAAAACAGAACCAGUGCUUUGGGAUGAAACAAAUGCCAGGUCAAGGCACCCUAAACAUUAAAAUGUUGAUUAUAAUGACUGGACUUUAGGGCUUCAGAAAUGCAAAGAUAUAUUCUUGUAUAUUCUCCCAAUAUUGUAAGAGUAAAUUUACUUAUCUCUCCUUGUAGUAAGU